AAAUAGAUAAAGAAAA
rnacentral:sRNA from 1 species